rnacentral:rRNA from 1 species
GACGAACGCUGGCGGCGUGCUUAACACAUGCAAGUCGAACGGAAAGGCCUGCUUUCCCUUGUGGAUUGCGGGUACUCGAGUGGCGAACGGGUGAGUAACACGUGAGUGGUCUGCCCCCAACUUGGGUAUAAGCCUGGGAAACUGGGUCUAAUUCCCGAUAGGACUGCAGGGUGGUGCCUGUGGUGGAAAACGAUUUUCUAGUGGUUGGGGAUGAGCUCGCGGCCUAUCAGCUUGUUGGUGGGGUAAUGGCCUACCAAGGCGGCGACGGGUAGCCGGCCUGAGAGGGUGGACGGCCACAUUGGGACUGAGAUACGGCCCAGACUCCUACGGGAGGCAGCAGUGGGGAAUAUUGCACAAUGGGCGGAGGCCUGAUGCAGCGACGCCGCGUGGGGGAUGACGGCCUUCGGGUUGUAAACUCCUUUCGACCGCGAGGAAGCCACCUGGUUGGAAGGGUGGUGACGGUAGUGGUAGAAGAAGCACCGGCUAACUACGUG